rnacentral:hammerhead_ribozyme from 1 species
GUAUUGCUGAAGAGUUCAAAACAAGGACGAAAUGGCUGUCCAGUAC